rnacentral:rRNA from 1 species
GAUGAACGCUAGCUACAGGCUUAACACAUGCAAGUCGAGGGGCAGCAUGGUCUUAGCUUGCUAAGGCCGAUGGCGACCGGCGCACGGGUGAGUAACACGUAUCCAACCUGCCGUCUACUCUUGGACAGCCUUCUGAAAGGAAGAUUAAUACAAGAUGGCAUCAUGAGUUCACAUGUUCACAUGAUUAAAGGUAUUCCGGUAGACGAUGGGGAUGCGUUCCAUUAGAUAGUAGGCGGGUAACGGCCCACCUAGUCUUCGAUGGAUAGGGGUUCUGAGAGGAAGGUCCCCCACAUUGGAACUGAGACACGGUCCAAACUCCUACGGGAGGCAGCAGUGAGGAAUAUUGGUCAAUGGGCGUAGGCCUGAACCAGCCAAGUAGCGUGAAGGACGACUGCCCUAUGGGGUUGUAAAACUUCUUUUAUAAAGGAAUAAAGUCGGGUAUGUAUACCCGUUUGCAUGACUUUAUGAAUAAGGAUCGGCUAACUCCGUGCCAGCAG